rnacentral:rRNA from 1 species
UACAGAGGGGGCAAGCGUUAUUCGGAAUUAUUGGGCGUAAAGGGCGCGUAGGCGGCCUGGCAAGUGGAAGGUGAAAUCCCUCGGCUUAACCGAGGAACUGCCCUCCAAACUGCUUGGCUUGAGUCCGGGAGAGGUGAGUGGAAUUCCCAGUGUAGCGGUGAAAUGCGUAGAUAUUGGGAGGAACACCAGUGGCGAAGGCGGCUCACUGGACCGGUACUGACGCUGAUGCGCGAAAGCGUGGGGAGCAAACGGG